rnacentral:misc_RNA from 1 species
AAUUCUCAACUAUACAAGUUUUGAAAACCUGUAUAGCUUGGACUUGGGAUUUGCGGGCUCAUUUUGAGUCGGCUAUCCUUAAAUGCAUUAGCAGAGCUUUUGCCGCUAACCAUUGGUGUGAUAAUUAUCUACGCCAUUGUGAUGCGACAUGAAUAGGGCUUAGCUUCUAAUCGUCCUCACGGACUAUACUUGACA